rnacentral:rRNA from 1 species
ACGGGUGAGUAACACGUGAGUAACCUGCCCCCUUCUUCUGGAUAACCGCAUGAAAGUGUGGCUAAUACGGGAUAUUCUGGGUCUGUCGCAUGGUGGGCCUGGGAAAGAUUGCGCCUUUUUUGGUGUUUUUGGUGGGGGAUGGGCUCGCGGCCUAUCAGCUUGUUGGUGGGGUGAUGGCCUACCAAGGCGGUGACGGGUAGCCGGCCUGAGAGGGUGGACGGUCACACUGGGACUGAGACACGGCCCAGACUCCUACGGGAGGCAGCAGUGGGGAAUAUUGCACAAUGGGCGCAAGCCUGAUGCAGCGACGCCGCGUGAGGGAUGGAGGCCUUCGGGUUGUGAACCUCUUUCGCCAGUGAAGCAGGCCUGCCUCGUUUGUGGGUGGGUUGACGGUAGCUGGAUAAGAAGCGCCGGCUAACUACGUGCCAGCAGCCGCGGUAAUACGUAGGGCGCGAGCGUUGUCCGGAAUUAUUGGGCGUAAAGAGCUCGUAGGCGGCUGGUCGCGUCUGUCGUGAAAUCCUCUGGCUUAACUGGGGGCUUGCGGUGGGUACGGGCCGGCUUGAGUGCGGUAGGGGAGACUGGAACUNCUGGUGUAGCGGUGGAAUGCGCAGAUAUCAGGAAGAACACCGGUGGCGAAGGCGGGUCUCUGGGCCG